GACCCGUUAGCUCAGUUGGUAGAGCAUCUGACUUUUAAUCAGAGGGUCGAAGGUUCGAACCCUUCACGGGUCACCA
rnacentral:tRNA from 1 species